rnacentral:rRNA from 1 species
UACGUAGGGGGCAAGCGUUGUCCGGAAUCAUUGGGCGUAAAGCGCGCGUAGGCGGCCCUGUAAGUCCGUUGUGAAAGUCAAGGGCUCAACCUUUGAAAGCCGAUGGAUACUGCAGGGCUAGAGUCCGGAAGAGGCGAGUGGAAUUCCUGGUGUAGCGGUGGAAUGCGCAGAUAUCAGGAGGAACACCAAUAGCGAAGGCAGCUCGCUGGGACGGUACUGACGCUAAGGCGCGAAAGCGUGGGGAGCGAACAGG